GGGAUAUUGCACAAUGGGGGAAACCCUGAUGCAGCAACGCCGCGUGAGGGAUGAAGGUUUUCGGAUUGUAAACCUCUGUCCUUAGUGAAGAAACAAAUGACGGUAACUAAGGAGGAAGCUCCGGCUAACUACGUGCCAGCAGCCGCGGUAAUACGUAGGGAGCGAGCGUUGUCCGGAUUUAUUGGGUGUAAAGGGUGCGUAGGCGGCUAUGUAAGUCAGACGUGUAAUGCAGGGGCUUAACCCCUGAACUGCGUUUGAAACUGUGUAGCUUGAGUGGAGUAGAGGCAGAUGGAAUUUCCAGUGUAGCGGUGAAAUGCGUAGAUAUUGGAAGGAACACCAGUGGCGAAGGCGAUCUGCUGGGCUCUAACUGACGCUGAGGCACGAAAGCAUGGGGAGCAAACA
rnacentral:rRNA from 1 species